UACACCGACGGUGCUCACAUCUGC
rnacentral:siRNA from 1 species